GGAAUUUUGGACAAUGGACGCAAGUCUGAUCCAGCCAUUCCGCGUGCAGGAUGAAGGCCCUCGGGUUGUAAACUGCUUUUGUACGGAACGAAAAGGUUUCUAUUAAUACUAGGAGCUCAUGACGGUACCGUAAGAAUAAGCACCGGCUAACUACGUGCCAGCAGCCGCGGUAAUACGUAGGGUGCAAGCGUUAAUCGGAAUUACUGGGCGUAAAGCGUGCGCAGGCGGUUAUGUAAGACAGAGGUGAAAUCCCCGGGCUCAACCUGGGAACUGCCUUUGUGACUGCAUAGCUAGAGUACGGUAGAGGGGGAUGGAAUUCCGCGUGUAGCAGUGAAAUGCGUAGAUAUGCGGAGGAACACCGAUGGCGAAGGCAAUCCCCUGGACCUGUACUGACGCUCAUGCACGAAAGCGUGGGGAGCAAACAGGAUUAGAUACCCUGGUAGUCCACGCCCUAAACGAUGUCAACUGGUUGUUGGGUCUUCACUGACUCAGUAACGAAGCUAACGCGUGAAGUUGACCGCCUGGGGAGUACGGCCGCAAGGUUGAAACUCAAAUGAAUUGACGG
rnacentral:rRNA from 1 species